rnacentral:rRNA from 1 species
AGAGUUUGAUCCUGGCUCAGGACGAACGCUGGCGGCGCGCCUAACACAUGCAAGUCGAACGAGCAAAGAGGAGCUUGCUUCUCUGAGCGAGUGGCGAACGGGUGAGUAACGCGUGAGGAACCUGCCUCAAAGAGGGGGACAACAGUUGGAAACGACUGCUAAUACCGCAUAAGCCCACGGGUCGGCAUCGACCAGAGGGAAAAGGAGCAAUCCGCUUUGAGAUGGCCUCGCGUCCGAUUAGCUAGUUGGUGAGGUAAUGGCCCACCAAGGCGACGAUCGGUAGCCGGACUGAGAGGUUGAACGGCCACAUUGGGACUGAGACACGGCCCAGACUCCUACGGGAGGCAGCAGUGGGGAAUAUUGCACAAUGGGGGAAACCCUGAUGCAGCGACGCCGCGUGGAGGAAGAAGGUCUUCGGAUUGUAAACUCCUGUUGUUGAGGAAGAUAAUGACGGUACUCAACAAGGAAGUGACGGCUAACUACGUGCCAGCAGCCGCGGUAAAACGUAGGUCACAAGCGUUGUCCGGAAUUACUGGGUGUAAAGGGAGCGCAGGCGGGAAGACAAGUUGGAAGUGAAAUCCAUGGGCUCAACCCAUGAACUGCUUUCAAAACUGUUUUUCUUGAGUAGUGCAGAGGUAGGCGGAAUUCCCGGUGUAGCGGUGGAAUGCGUAGAUAUCGGGAGGAACACCAGUGGCGAAGGCGGCCUACUGGGCACCAACUGACGCUGAGGCUCGAAAGUGUGGGUAGCAAACAGGAUUAGAUACCCUGGUAGUCCACACCGUAAACGAUGAUUACUAGGUGUUGGAGGAUUGACCCCUUCAGUGCCGCAGUUAACACAAUAAGUAAUCCACCUGGGGGAGUACGACCCGCAAGGUUGAAACUCCAAAGGAAUUGACGGGGGGCCCGCCCAACCAGUGGAGGAAUGUGGGUUUAAUUCUACCGCACCGCGAAGAACCUUACCCAAGCUUUGAAUCCUUGCGACGGAAUAAAAAAAAUGUUUUUUCUUUCGGGACGCAAAACAAGGGGGGGGCAGGGGUGGCGUCACCUCGUGUCGUGAGAUGUUGGGUUAAGUCCCGCAACGAGCGCAACCCUUAUGGUCAGUUACUACGCAAGAGGACUCUGGCCAGACUGCCGUUGACAAAACGGAGGAAGGUGGGGAUGACGUCAAAUCAUCAUGCCCUUUAUGACUUGGGCUACACACGUACUACAAUGGCGUUAAACAAAGAGAAGCAAGACCGCGAGGUGGAGCAAAACUCAGAAACAACGUCCCAGUUCGGACUGCAGGCUGCAACUCGCCUGCACGAAGUCGGAAUUGCUAGUAAUCGUGGAUCAGCAUGCCACGGUGAAUACGUUCCCGGGCCUUGUACACACCGCCCGUC